rnacentral:lncRNA from 1 species
AUGCAUUUGGAAAUUGCCUUGUGAAACCGUCAGAAUACAGAAAACACAAAGUUUAAACGUUUUGGAUGCCUUCUGUAAGGUAAAGCAGUACCUCAGCAGUGAAUCAGGAAGAUGGACAGCAUCGAUAACCCUCCUUCCUCCACCUCACAAAAACUCACAAGCUGCAACCCUUCUGAUGUCCACUCCCACACAAACCAGCUUCAGGCCUUUUUCAAGAGUGCAGGAAAUUCUACCCCCCAAGUAUGGCACCUUGGCAUGCUGAGUAUUUUAAGCUGAAGGAAACAGAGAAAACCACAGAAGCAGAAAGGUCUUUCUGACCUCUCUUGAAGACCCUCAUGUGACAGGUGUCCUGCCCUACAUCCAGAGAGAAGGAAUGUUCCACAGACAGACUAAGAAGAAUCUGAAGAAUCAGGCCUUACUAAGUGCCCUCCAGCUCUGAUGUAGAUGGGAUGGAAUUCCAAGUGCUGGGAAUACUUCUAGCAGCUAAAGUUAAGAGCGUACCAGAUGUGUUCGAGAACCUUGAGUUGAUCUGAAAAGAGAAUCUGCUCAAGGAGAAAACAAUUGGAUGCUGUGGGGCACCACCUCCUUGAGGACCAAGGCACUCCAGCUGCCAGGAAUUUGGCUGCUAACCUCACACAGCUGAGCCUUCCAUGAAAAUUGCUCUCUGCCAAAGAGAACUUCCUAGUCCAAGGUCAUGUCUACUCUCCAGAGAUGUGACUGGAGUGAUUUGCACCCGGAUGCCUAGACUCGCCAUCUGCUCAAAGACUGCUCAGAAAGCCCUCCCAUGCAUUCCCCUGCUGCAUACCAGCCCACUCUGCCUGCAGCUGCUGUCUGCAGGACUUCAUAUCUAUGCCACACUGUGUAAAAGCUGUGCUUCAAGAAAUCACAAAAACAUUUUCCUGCACCUACUACACAGCCUGAGUGCGGCAUAAGUUGACCUUGCUUGCUAAGAAAUGGGGCAAGAAAUGCUUUUUUGUGUGUGUCAUGUCUGUUUGUUUUUCAAUUAAGAGAGGAAAGCAUUAGGCAGAUGGAAUGUACAUGUGAGGAUGAGGAGACAGAAAACAAGUAGCCCUUUCCAUCAAGAUAGAGGGUUUUCUGGGGUUGCUGGCUAUUGAAUGUCACUCCUGAUUUCUCUUUCCAAGGCACUGUACCACCAGCCUACUGAGAUUGUGUGGGAGCUUUCAUG